rnacentral:rRNA from 2 species
GGACAGAUGAUUGGGGUGAAGUCGUAACAAGGUAGCCGUAUCGGAAGGUGCGGCUGGAUCACCUCCUUUCUAAGGAA